UGGUUCUGGCAUCGAUGAAGAACGCAGCGAAAUGCGAUAAGUAAUGCGAAUUGCAGAAUUCCGUGAGUCAUCGAAUCUUUGAACGCACAUUGCGCCCUUUGGCAUUCCGAGGGGCAUGCCUGUUCGAGCGUCAUGAUCACCUCUCAAGCCAGGCUUGACGUUGGGCCUGAUCGUUAAAGAUCGGCCCUAAAGAUAACGGCGAUGCCGUGACCAAGACGAAAAACGCAACGAGUUCGCGUUUCGUUGAGGGGUCGGCCUCCGCUUAACCGUACAUUCUAGAAAUUGACCUCGGAUCAGGUAGGGAUACCCGCUGA
rnacentral:misc_RNA from 1 species